rnacentral:rRNA from 1 species
CAGCCGCCGCGGGAAUACGGAGGGGGCUAGCGUUGUUCGGAAUUACUGGGCGUAAAGCGUGCGCAGGCGGUUUGUUAAGACAGAUGUGAAAUCCCCGGGCUCAACCUGGGAACUGCAUUUGUGACUGGCAAGCUAGAGUAUGGCAGAGGGGGGUGGAAUUCCGCGUGUAGCAGUGAAAUGCGUAGAUAUGCGGAGGAACACCGAUGGCGAAGGCAGCCCCCUGGGCCAAUACUGACGCUCAUGCACGAAAGCGUGGGGAGCAAACAGGAUUAGAUACCCGUGUAGUCCCUGUCUCUUAUAC